rnacentral:rRNA from 1 species
GAAACAGGUUAAUAUUCCUGUACUGAUCAUAAUUGCGAUGGGGGGACGGAGAAAGCUAGGCCAGCACACUGUUGGAUGUGUGUUUAAGCGCGUAGGUUGGGGACUUAGGCAAAUCCGGGUUCCUAAGACUGAAACGUGAUGACGAGUUUCUACGGAAACGAAGUGGUUGAUGCUCUGCUUCCAGGAAAAGCCUCUAAGCUUCAGAUUAUGACAACCGUACCCCAAACCGACACAGGUGGGUAGGAAGAGAAUUCCAAGGUGCUUGAGAGAACUCGGGUAAAGGAACUCGGCAAAAUGAUACCGUAACUUCGGGAUAAGGUAUGCCUCUGAUGGUGAAUAGCUGUUGGAGGCCGCAGAGAAUAGGCCGCUGCGACUGUUUAUCAAAAACACAGCACUCUGCAAACACGAAAGUGGACGUAUAGGGUGUGACGCCUGCCCGGUGCUGGAAGGUUAAUUGAAGAUGUGAGAGCAUCGGAUCGAAGCCCCAGUAAACGGCGGCCGUAACAAUAACGGUCCUAAGGUAGCGAAAUUCCUUGUCGGGUAAGUUCCGACCCGCACGAAUGGCGUAACGAUGGCCACACUGUCUCCUCCCGAGACUCAGCGAAGUUGAAGUGGUUGUGAAGAUGCAAUCUACCCGCUGCUAGACGGAAAGACCCCGUGAACCUUUACUGUAGCUUUGCAUUGGACUUUGAAGUCACUUGUGUAGGAUAGGUGGGAGGCUUUGAAGCAGAGACGCCAGUCUCUGUGGAGCCGUCCUUGAAAUACCACCCUGGUGUCUUUGAGGUUCUAACCCAGACCCGUAAUCCGGGUCGGGGACCGUGCAUGGUAGGCAGUUUGACUGGGGCGGUCUCCUCCCAAAGAGUAACGGAGGAGUUCGAAGGUUACCUAGGUCCGGUCGGAAAUCGGACUGAUAGUGCAAUGGCAAAAGGUAGCUUAACUGCGAGACCGACAAGUCGAGCAGGUGCGAAAGCAGGACAUAGUGAUCCGGUGGUUCUGUAUGGAAGGGCCAUCGCUCAACGGAUAAAAGGUACUCCGGGGAUAACAGGCUGAUUCCGCCCAAGAGUUCAUAUCGACGGCGGAGUUUGGCACCUCGAUGUCGGCUCAUCACAUCCUGGGGCUGUAGUCGGUCCCAAGGGUAUGGCUGUUCGCCAUUUAAAGUGGUACGUGAGCUGGGUUUAAAACGUCGUGAGACAGUUUGGUCCCUAUCUGCAGUGGGCGUUGGAAGUUUGACGGGGGCUGCUCCUAGUACGAGAGGACCGGAGUGGACGAACCUCUGGUGUACCGGUUGUCACGCCAGUGGCAUCGCCGGGUAGCUAAGUUCGGAAGAGAUAAGCGCUGAAAGCAUCUAAGCGCGAAACUCGCCUGAAGAUGAGACUUCCCUUGCGGUUUAACCGCACUAAAGAGUCGUUCGAGACCAGGACGUUGAUAGGUGGGGUGUGGAAGCGCGGUAACGUGUGAAGCUAACCCAUACUAAUUGCUCGUGAGGC